CGUGUCUCUAAUCACUACAUUUGAGUUUGCUGUUUGAGUUUGUAAUUAAAAUAAAAUUGCCAUUUUGAAAGCUACACCCUCCUCCUUCCAUGGCCUUUCCUAAAUAGGCGUAUAUUACAUUGUUCCGUUGUCAGAAUUCUAAAUUAACAAACGGAAAACUAUUUAUGGACUAUUUGCCAGUUUUUUUACCCUAUUUUCCGACAUAAUCGGCCAACAACCCACAGCACUUAUUGUUGGUGCCCAGGCAGCCCGCUAAUGGUACCCAAAUGGCGCUAAUCACUCCUCAUUGAAUGCAUGACAUCAAUGGAUGAAUGCGUUAUACUCCCAGAUGAAUAGUUGAAUUUGGAUGGAGUUACAAAUGAUAUACAAGAUCCAUGACCAUUCAACAAUUUAAUUUGGCUAUUAUUGAAACGAUAUAGGCUAUUUGACAAUUCAACAUAUGUAUCAGAUGUUACCAUUUUUCAAUAGGAGAUUCAGCUUCUUGUGUAGGCUAAUUCAUUCAUGUAAAUCUAAAAUUGAAAUCUAAAUAUUUUACCUAUAGCCAACUACCAAUUCAACAAAGAUAUUACACGUUACUAUUUUUAUUUGGAGAGUUAUAGAGAGAAACAAAAUCAUAUACACAUCCUAUCAUCUCUGUUUUUCUCUGCUUGUUUUACUGAAGAUCAAGUUUCUACAAAUGCAUUACACUAAAUAAUUAUUCACAAAACGAAAUACCAACGAUCACCAUUGAUCAAUUCACAAUCGAAAAAUGCCUUUUUUAUAUUUUCAUGUAAGCAAACCAUUCUUUGAAAUUGUGUACAUGUUGUUUACAUUCUUUUUCAGUUGUUACAUGUCUAGCUUGGGAACCUCUGCUGCUUUCCCCUGCAUUUUAGUUGCAAUGCCACCUUGCACCUUCAAUUUGCACAUUUUUACAUUGCACUGAUAACAUACAUUGUCCUUAAUUGUUUCACUUGUACAUUUUUUGCACUUCUGGGUAGAUGCUAACUUCAUUUCGUUAUACUGUACUUUUGAAUCUAAUCUAAUGAAUAACAAUGAAAUAUGUGUGUGUGUGUUAGGGGAGCAUUUGCCAUCGUCUCCACCCAGCAGUUAGUAGGUGGAGCACCAGAGAGUGGGAGAGUAUGCAGCGCCACGUGAAGCAACUGUCAUAGUACUGCCCCCCCUAGGCGCGGCUCCUGACAACGCCACCUGGCAGGUGGAGACGACAGGCAUGGAACUCGACUGUCAGGGAGGGGUCGCAGAUGUCCACCGCCAGCUCCGUCCACCCCAUCUCCAUACCUCAGGACCGUAUCCCACCCAGUCCACCAGGUACUGGACCUGGCCACGCCAUAGCUGGAAGUCCAGAAUCACCUCAACCCUGUACGCCAGACCCCCAGCUACCUUCACUGGAGGCGGAAGUGUCUCUGCAGGACCGGAUCCCCCCCAGCAGACCAGGAAACACCGGCAUGAGGAGAGUGGAAGAGAUGUUAGUGUAUGGUGGAAUCAGUUGGAGUUAAUUUGUGACCUUGUUUACCUUCCGGAGGACCUUGAAUGGCCACACGUACUGGGGACCCAGCUUACGACAGGCAGGUGGGAGGUCCCUUGUGGACGGCCACGCCUUGUCCCCCAGGGCAGUACUCAGGAUCGUUGCUGCACCUUCUGAUGCUGCACUACCUCCUGCAGGCGG
ensembl:lncRNA